CAGCAGCCGCGGUAAUUCGGAGGGUGCAAGCGUUAAUCGGAAUUACUGGGCGUAAAGCGCGCGUAGGCGGUUUGUUAAGUCGGAUGUGAAAGCCCUGGGCUCAACCUGGGAACUGCAUACGAUACUGGCAAGCUAGAGUGCAAUAGAGGGGGGUAGAAUUCCAGGUGUAGCGGUGAAAUGCGUAGAUAUCUGGAGGAAUACCGGUGGCGAAGGCGGCCCCCUGGAUUGACACUGACGCUGAGGUGCGAAAGCGUGGGUAGCAAACAGGAUUAGAUACCCUGGUAGUCCACGCCGUAAACGAUGUCAACUAGCUGUUGGGACUCUUGUAGUUCUGGUAGCGCAGCUAACGCACUAAGUUGACCGCCUGGGGAGUACGGCCGCAAGGUUAAAACUUAAAGGAAUUGACGG
rnacentral:rRNA from 1 species